CCCUUAGAUGUUCUGGGCCGCACGCGCGCUACACUGAACAGUUCAACAAGUCUUAACCUUGGCCGAUAGGUCUGGGUAAUCUUUGAACGCUGUUCGUGAUUGGGAUAGACCUUUGCAAUUAUGGGUCUUCAACGAGGAAUUCCUAGUAAACGCAAGUCAUCAGCUUGCAUUGAUUACGUCCCUGCCCUUUGUACACACCGCCCGUCGCACCUACCGAUUGAAUGGUCCGGUGAAAUCUCGGGACGGCGGCUUGGUCGCUUGCGUCCGACUGCUGAAACUUGAUUAAACCAUAUCAUUUAGAGGAAGGUGAANUCGUANCA
rnacentral:rRNA from 1 species